rnacentral:tRNA from 1 species
CGCGGGGUGGAGCAGCCUGGUUAGCUCGCAAGGCUCAUAACCUUGAGGUCGUAGGUUCAAAUCCUACCCCCGCUA